rnacentral:rRNA from 1 species
CCUACGGGAGGCAGCAGUAGGGAAUAUUGCACAAUGGGCGAAAGCCUGAUGCAGCAACGCCGCGUGCGCGAUGACGGCCUUCGGGUUGUAAACCACUUUUGGCGGGGGCGAAAUAUCGAGUGCUAAUACCAUUCGGUGAUGACGGUACCCGCAGAAUAAGCACCGGCUAACUACGUGCCAGCAGCCGCGGUAAUACGUAGGGUGCAAGCGUUAAUCGGAAUUACUGGGCGUAAAGCGUGCGCAGGCGGUUGAGUAAGACAGAUGUGAAAUUCCCGGGCUCAACCUGGGAACUGCAUUUGUGACUGCUUGACUAGAGUGCGGCAGAGGGGAGUGGAAUUCCGCGUGUAGCAGUGAAAUGCGUAGAUAUGCGGAGGAACACCGAUGGCGAAGGCAACUCCCUGGGCCUGCACUGACGCUCAUGCACGAAAGCGUGGGGAGCAAACNGGAUUAGAUACCCUGGUAGUCCACGCCCUAAACGAUGUCGACUAGUUGUUGGACGGGAUAC